rnacentral:lncRNA from 12 species
GCACUGCACCUACAACAGAGGAAUUUUUCCAGUUGCAGCAAGAGGCCACCGAGGAUCAGAGGAAAAAGCCAGCACAUCAAAGGGGCAGGGCAGGGAGCAGCACACGAGCAGAUCUGUCCUGCAGUAGCUGUUUUAUCCUUGUGCCACAGUGAAGAGUGACUGUGCUUUGAGCUCCUGCAAAGCACUUGGACAACCCUG